UCGCACGCACGGCACACUUCGAGACAACUCUUGAACGCCGACCCGAAGGAAGAGGGUCGAGUCCUGACGGGAAGCUACGUGAGGCCGAUUCUCUGCUGCCUGUUUCAUCGCCCUUUCCCACAAGGCCUGGGGGCCACCUCCUGGGCCUCAGGACCUGGUGCCACGAGGUCCAUUCUGGCAAACAGGGCACAGACAAGAGGGCCGAUGGGUUUUGGGGUGUAUUAGGCACCGUCCCCACGGUUUUGCCCGAUCCACUCUGGAGUGUUUUGGGCGUCCUUGAUCCGUCUGGGGUGGAGGAAGCCUGCCCGGGAGGUACCCAGGUGCAGAGAGCAGAGGGGGCCUCGAACUGAUGAUUUCCUGCAGGUCAUCCAUGCGGCAUCGAGAUUCAGGCGAGAGAGAAUCCAUUUCUCGUUCCCGGUUAUGAAGUGUCCUUGCUCACCAGGCCCCGGUUCUCAGCACCCCUCGCCACCCCCCACCCAGCCUCCUCCAUGGCUGCUGGUGGCCUGGUGGGGCCAGACCUUCCAGGGACAGUGCACCGACCCUCCCGAGCGGGCACUAUGAGGCCACCGCCAAGUGGCAAGGGCUCGUGGGACGGACCUUUCCCGGGCACAAACCUGCAGGCACUUGUCACUGCUGAUGUGACAGAGCACGGCAACAGAGACCCAUGAACCACGCCAAGGCUCUCCCCCAGGACACUGCGCAUUACCAAGGAGAGUAGCCUGGUGGACACCCUGAGUCGAGUGGCCAAAGCUCACCUCCUUCUGAGAUGGUCCUGCCUGAGGGGCCCAGCUGGAACCCGUCACAGGGCAGACAGACGGAGUCACACCUGCCAGUUCCCUUUGGAGGACCUCUCCGGGCCACCGAGCUGUCCCACUAGGGGAGAUGUGGGAGGUGGGGUGAUGGAGUGCAGUGAGGGGUCCUGCUCCAGGGGGAGGUCGCCGGGGACACGGAGGAGCUGGACCAGGUCUGCACCCGAGUAAAGGGCUCAGACCGGCGCUGGUCCCUGGACAUGGGGUUGCAUAAGGUGCUAGCAGUGGGAUCCUAGUGAGGGCACAGGAGAAGGAUCUGGAUUGUUUCUGCAGGGGUUUUGCAGGUCUGGAAUAAUUUCAAAAUCUCAAAUUAAAGAAAAGCUCCAGGAAAACAAAGUGUGUCAUGACGGAUGAAAUCCUUUCACUUGAAUCAACUGUGACGGUCAGGUCAGGCCGCGCAUGGCCCCCAGUGGGACACGGUGAAGGGCAGGGUGCUUGGGGCAGACCCACUCCACACGAGUGCUUUUUACGACUGCGGUCCUCCUGGGCGUCAGGAAGUCCUUCCGCAAGGGCGUCCUUCGGUGCCCGUGGCCUCCGUGCAGGUGCUGGCGGCAUCGGGGUUGGGACCACCUCGAGAAGGGCAACAUUCUGCAUUUCAUGACCUCGGGACCAUGACGGGACUGACGUGUGGGAGCGUCCAUGCCCCUCGGACCCAGAUACCUCCGAAUGCUAAAGGAACAUCACAUCGAGCCCACUUCUAGCUCCGCUUAAGCCUACGCCAACCAGGCAGCUUGCGCUCACUCCGGUAGCGAGUGUGGCCGUUUCAGUCGGCAAAUCAGGUAUGGUGAGGUGUCGGGCGCCUGCGUCCAGCCCGGGGCCGCUCGAUGGCCACGCAGCAGAGCUGUGGUUCUGAGGGCCGGAAACGGGGGAGUCUGGCAGGAUGUUUGGUGAAUCUAGAACAUUCCCCUGCAAGGGUGCUGGGGUUAUCACUGACCUUUUUAAGAUUUAUUUUAGGGAAUGAGAGAGAGCAGACCGUGGGGACGGGCAGAGGGAGAGGGAGAAUCCGGAGCAGAGCCCCACUGAGCGUGGAGCCCGACGGAGCGCGAUCCCAGGACCCUGAUGUCAUGACUUGAGUGGAAACUAGGGGUCAGAUGCUCAACUGCCUGGGCCCCCCAGGCGUCCACAUCACGGAGCUCUUAGUAUAAAAAUGUGGUGCUCUCCCCCGUCCCCGAAUCUGGUGGGGGAGGGCUCCAAAGCCUGGAGAUCCCACCGUGUCUUUACGCUGCAACGCGGGUGGCCACCGGAACCGCGGGCCAGCCUCUGGGGAGGGGCCUCUGAGUCCCACCUGGGACCUCUGUGGGCGACGCUCGGUCCCCUUCUCCUCUCUCCUUGCUCAGAAACACCUGCAGGAAGACCCCCCCUGCCCCCGUCCCCGAGGACUGGCCGACAGUACCUUCGUCUGGACCAUGCCUGGUCUCUGGUCCCUCAGGUGCUCUAGGGUCGCGGCGAUGUCGAUCUCCUUGGCGCCUGCAACGACACACACAGGUGCCACCUCCGCUCGGCACCAGAGCACAGGGCGUGGGAGCCACCACCCCACCCCGCGCGGGAGACCGAGGCUCGUCCCGGUGAAACAGCCUGUCCCUGGUCACGCGGCCCGUGGCCGUGGUUGUCGUCAGCCCGCACCGGGCAGGGUGCACCAGGUCCUGACGGGCCCCUCUCUCUCUGCACAACCUACAUGAGCACGUCGCUCCUCUCGGCACAGAACCAGAACCGCCAACUUGGACGUUUCAAAGGUAGUUUUUCAAGUUCUGGGGCUUAUUUGGCCGGAACCCAAGCAGCCCGUGAUGUUUCCCAAGCACAGCGGGUUGAGCUGGGCAGAGCGGGGGGCGAGGUGGGCGCUGUGGCUGCCGCCCCCGCACCUCCCUCUCCCCGCCGGUCCUGGAGCAGACAGGAUGGGGGCACUCAGCACGCCGGGGCCUGCAGCGGAAGUGCUGGCCUUACGGGAACUAGGCUGGCAGUCCUUCCAGACACGGGGCACUGUCCUAGCAGGAACGGGGACACCCUGAGUUUCCCCAGGCGUUCCAUCAGGGCUUUCAUAGCAAGGAGAAGAAAUCCCCCAUUGGAACAGCCAGACGGUCCCCCAGGGUGCUCGGCAGCUGGCGUCGCUGAGAAACUCAUCCAAGGAAAGGACAGGGGUCGAGUUCUGGACGUGCGUCUCCUCGGGUGUGACGAGGCCACAAUAAAUUUGUUUUAAGGGAACCCACGACCCUCUGUCCUGUCCUGUGGAUCUGUGUGUCUAUUUUUGUGCCGGUACCAGGCUGGCUUGGCGAUCCCAGCUUUGUAACAAGAGCUCGAAGUCCGGAUUGUGAUGCCGCUGGCUUUGGUUUUCUUUUUCUUUUCUUCUUUUUGAAAAACAUUUUAUUUAUUUAUUUGACAGAGAGAGAGAGAGAGAGAGCACAAGCAGGGGGAGGGGCAGAGGGAGACGCAGGCUUCCCGUUGAGAAGGGAGCUCGACACGGGCUUGAUCCCAGGACCUGAGCCCAAGGCAGACGCUUAACUGACUGAGCCCCCAGGCGCCCCUGGUUUUCUUUUUCAAGGUUGCUUUGGGUGUUUGGAGCCUGUUGUGGCUCUGUACACAUUUAAGGAUUUGUCUAGUUCUGUGAAUGAUGCUGGUGGUAUUUUGCUAGGGAUUACAUGAAACGUGUAGACGCUUUGGGUAGUGUAGACAUUUUAACGAUGUCUGUAAAAAACAGACGACCGCAGCGGCAGGGGGAGGAGAGGGAGAGCGGGAGCGGGACCGCAGGACACGCCUGAAGACAGAGACCACAGCGGGGCUGCGGCUGGGCGGCGCGGGUGCGGGCAGGAAGGGGGCGCUUGGGGCGGGGGGUGAGCACUGGGCGUGUGAGUGACGAACCUCUGAAUUCUCCUCCAGAAACCAACACUGUGUGUUCACGAAUCUUCAAGUACGAAAAAUAAAGCUCAAUGGAUCAGAAACAGUGAGUAGAAAUAAAGGGAACCGCCGAGUCUGAGAAUCUGAAACAAACAGGAGUUUGCCUGCUGCUAAACGGGGAGUCAGACAAGAGAGGAGCCCAGCGGCCGGAGCGGGAGGCCACAGUGUGGGGCGCCCCCCGCGGCGGCCACGGCCUGAGGAUCUGCUGCCUCGUCUUCCCAGGGAAGCUCCCUCCAGUGGAAUCCCCUCUUUAAAAAUCCCGUUUUGUGACGACACGUGAAACUGGAGGUGGACGGACCCGGUGCGGUGCUCAGUGGGAGAGCCAGAACGUUGGCUUCCAAGUUUACGUACCCGCUACAUACAUUUUUAAGCCUGGAGAGGUUUUUAACCCCUAGAUAAAAAGUAUUAAUCAUGAAACAAUGAACACCUCAAGAAUAGUAGUAUGAUUAAAAUAUUAAAACUUUUUUUGGAGCCGGGGCGUCUGGUUGUUUCAGUCGGUCAAGUGUCUGCUUUCGGCUCAGGCCAUGACCCAGGGUCCUGGGACGGAGCCCUGCAUCAGGCUUCUUACGCAGUGGGGAGUCUGCGUCUCCUGCUCCCGCGCCCCCUGCUUGUGUCCCCUCUCUCGCUGUCUCUGUCACAUAAAUAAAACCUUAAAAGAAAAAAAAGUUCCUUUUACAUUGAAAGGAUGUUCUUGAAAUUUAAGAAAACCAGGGUCUUGAUGGGGUGGGCUUUGAGCUUUCCUGGUGUUGGUUCCCGGCCGCCGGCUCGUGCGGACAGUCCGCCCACCGUGGCCAGCAGGCCUCCUGGCAGGUGCGCACCCUCGCACAGCCUCCGUGGUGAUGCCCGACACACAAACCCGUUUCGUCGGCUUCUCCCCACAAGGUGUGCACAAGCAGGGCUCCCAUGCACUCUCUUCUUCAAGGUAGAAAGACAAGGUGUGUCAAGUGUGCAAGAGGGAAAGCCUUCGGUUUGCACGAGCCGGUGGUCUGGCUUCUGCCGUCAGGAGGCGCCGAGUGGGGGCUGUGCUCUGGCCGGGGAGAGCCACGCCCGCCGCACACGGCCCCAGCUCCGCCUCGGACAAGACCCGGUGGGCUUGGGCACUGUCCCGCAGGUGUGCGCACUGCACACGCGCACACACA